CCUAUGUCCUGGCGGGAUGCUUUACACAUGCAAGUCGGACGGCAGCACGGGCUUCGGCCUGGUGGUGAGUGGCGAACGGGUGAGUAAUGUAUCGGAACGUGCCCAGUAGCGGGGGAUAACUACGCGAAAGCGUGGCUAAUACCGCAUACGCCCUACGGGGGAAAGCGGGGGACCUUCGGGCCUCGCACUAUUGGAGCGGCCGAUAUCGGAUUAGCUAGUUGGUGGGGUAACGGCCUACCAAGGCGACGAUCCGUAGCUGGUUUGAGAGGACGACCAGCCACACUGGGACUGAGACACGGCCCAGACUCCUACGGGAGGCAGCAGUGGGGAAUUUUGGACAAUGGGGGCAACCCUGAUCCAGCCAUCCCGCGUGUGCGAUGAAGGCCUUCGGGUUGUAAAGCACUUUUGGCAGGAAAGAAACGGCACGGGCUAAUAUGCUGUGCAACUGACGGUACCUGCAGAAUAAGCACCGGCUAACUACGUGCCAGCAGCCGCGGUAAUACGUAGGGGUGCAAGCGUUAAUCGGAAUUACUGGGCGUAAAGCGUGCGCAGGCGGUUCGGAAAGAAAGAUGUGAAAUCCCAGGGCUUACCUUGGAACUG
rnacentral:rRNA from 1 species